rnacentral:rRNA from 1 species
AGUGAACGCUGGCGGUAGGCCUAACACAUGCAAGUCGAGCGGCAGCACAGUAAGAGCUUGCUCUUACGGGUGGCGAGUGGCGGACGGGUGAGGAAUACAUCUGAAUCUACUUUUUCGUGGGGGAUAACGUAGGGAAACUUACGCUAAUACCGCAUACGACCUACGGGUGAAAGCAGGGGAUCUUCGGACCUUGCGCGAUUGAAUGAGCCGAUGUCGGAUUAGCUAGUUGGCGGGGUAAAGGCCCACCAAGGCGACGAUCCGUAGCUGGUCUGAGAGGAUGAUCAGCCACACUGGAACUGAGACACGGUCCAGACUCCUACGGGAGGCAGCAGUGGGGAAUAUUGGACAAUGGGCGCAAGCCUGAUCCAGCCAUACCGCGUGGGUGAAGAAGGCCUUCGGGUUGUAAAGCCCUUUUGUUGGGAAAGAAAAGCAGCAGGUUAAUACCCCGCUGUUCUGACGGUACCCAAAGAAUAAGUACCGGCUAACUUCGUG